UUAAGCUUUGGACCACAAUUGCAUUACUCACUCUCUCUUCUCGGACCCAUUUUCCUCUCUUUCUCCAUUUUUCUUUUUCUCCCUAUAUCACCUUUUUCUCUCUAAGAUCUAUCAUGGUGGAGUAAGAUUUGCUUGGCCGUAAGGAAAGUUGGAGAGCUAGUCAAGGGCUACCUUUUGAUACUGGUCUUGCUAUCAUGGGGUGAAUUUCGGGUUUGAAUCUAGAAACUUGGGUUUCAUCAUUUGAGGUGUUCGUCAGGAGUAGAGGUUGUUCGUGCUGAGCAGGGAUCAGUCUAUUUCAUUCUUCCGCUUCUUUUUGGGAGAUUCGUUUAUGAUUCAAUUUUCAAAUGUAAACAUUAUUCAGUUUGGAUUUUUUAGGGGUCCACAUAGUAUGGAUUCCCGAGUUGUAUUAUUUUUGUGGUAUUAAUUGUAUCAGAAGGAUUUAUUAAUCAAUGAAAAUUUAUUCUG